GACGAACGCUGGCGGCGUGCCUAAUACAUGCAAGUCGAGCGGGUUUGUCCCUUCGGGGACAAGCUAGCGGCGGACGGGUGAGUAACACGUAGGCAACCUGCCUGUAAGAUCGGGAUAACUAUCGGAAACGAUAGCUAAGACCGGAUAGCUGGUUUCUCUGCAUGGAGGAAUCAUGAAACACGGUGCAAGCUGUGGCUUACAGAUGGGCCUGCGGCGCAUUAGCUAGUUGGUGAGGUAACGGCUCACCAAGGCGACGAUGCGUAGCCGACCUGGGAGGGUGAACGGCCACACUGGGACUGAGCCACGGCCCAGACUCCUACGGGAGGCAGCAGUAGGGAAUCUUCCGCAAUGGACGCAAGUCUGACGGAGCAACGCCGCGUGAGUGAUGAAGGUUUUCGGAUCGUAAAGCUCUGUUGCCCUAGACGAACAGCAGCAGGAGUAACUGCCUGCCUGCGUGACGGUAUAGGAGAAGAAAGCCCCGGCUAACUACGUGCCAGCAGCCGCGGUAACAC
rnacentral:rRNA from 1 species